rnacentral:sRNA from 1 species
AGAGAAGGGGUCUCGCUGUGUCGUCCACUCUGGUCUUGAACUCCAGGGCUCAACUGAUCCUCCCUUCUUGGCCUCCCAAAGUGCUGGGAUUACAGGCAUGAACCACCACGCCCAGCCCUGUUUUCUUCCUUAUGUGGGUUUUUGGGGAUGGAUUAUAUAGGGGCCAUUCAUUUUUGUUUGUGGUGGUUCUGACACAAUUCUCAUUUCAGUGUCAUUGUUAUUAUCAAAUUGCCUUUAGCUACAUUGGAUUUUUUUGGGUGUUUUUGUUUUUUUGAGACAGAGUCUCGCUGUCAGCCAGGCUUGAGUGCAAUGGUGCCAUCUUGGCUCACUGCAACCUCCCCUCCUGGGUUCAAGCGAUUCUCCCACCUCAGCCUCCUGAGUAGCUGGGACUACAGGUGUGCACCACCAUGCCCAGCUAAUUUUUGUAUUUUUAGUAGAGACAGGGUUUCACCGUAUUGGCCAGGCUGGUCUCGAACUCCUGACCUCAAGUGAUCCGCCCGCCUCAGCCUUCCAAAGUGCUGGGAUUACAGGCAUAAGCCACCAUGCCCUGCCUUAUUUUCUUAAAUUAUAUAUGAUGAAAAUGUAAAAGGUUUUUGCUAAGCCUCAUGUAGCUGCCCUCCACAGCAGUCACCUGUGUGUUUUUUAAACUCUCGAGUUUAGCAAGUGUGGGUAUCAUCCUGCUUUGAGGCGGAACUCGGCACACACACACUGUGCCUGCCCUACAGAAUCCGGCUUUUUCAGCAGCUCAGACUGUGCCAUCGCCUCUUGGGAGCAUGACAGUGGCUCAGUUUGUGAGGGGACACCAUCCAGGUUGCUGAGUCAUUAGGAAUCACAGAAUUCCUACGGAAGAAAGAAAUACACCCAGACAACCUUGGACCCAAGCACCUCAGCCGAGACAUGGAUGGGGAGCAGCUAGAGGGAGCUAGCAGCGAGAAGAGGGAACGUGAGGCUGCGGAGGAGGGACUGGCCUCAGUGAAAAGGCCCAGAAGAGAAGCCCUGUCCAACGAUACCACUGAAUCUCUUGCUGCCAACAGCAGAGGCCGGGAGAAGCCCAGGCCUUUGCAUGCUUUGGCCACUGGUUUUUCCCCUCCAGUAAAUGUGACUGUCUCUCCCCGUUCUGAAGAAAGCCAUACAACGAUGGUUUCUGGUAGCAAUGGGAGCGUGUUCCAGGCGGGCCCGCAGCUUCAGGCACUGGCUAACUUAGAAGCCAGGAGGGGGUCUAUAGGUGCUGCUCUCUCAUCCCGGGAUGUCAGUGGGCUGCCUGUUUAUGCUCAGUCAGGAGAGCCUAGGAGGCUGACCCAGGCACAGGUGGCAGCGUUUCCUGGAGAGAAUGCUUUGGAACACUCUUCAAACCAGGACACCUGGGACAGCCUGAGGAGCCCGGGUUUCUGCAGCCCUUUGUCAUCUGGUGGUGGAGCAGAGUCUCUGCCGCCUGGGGGGCCUGGACAUGCAGAGGCAGGACACCUCGGCAAGGUUUGUGACUUCCACCUGAACCACCAGCAGCCCAGCCCCAGCAGCGUCCUGCCUGCAGAGGUGGCAGCCCCUCCGCUUGAGAAAAUUUUGUCUGUGGAUAGCGUGGCAGUGGACUGUGCCUACAGGACUGUGCCCAAGCCAGGGCCUCAGCCCGGCCCACAUGGAUCACUAUUGACUGAAGGGCGUCUCAGAAGCCUUUCGGGGGACUUGAACCGGUUCCCCUGUGGGAUGGAGGUGCACUCUGGCCAGAGAGAACUGGAGAGCGUGGUUGCUGUCAGCGAAGCCAUGGCUUUUGAAAUUUCCAAUGGGAGCCAUGAGUUACUGUCUCAGGGACAGAAGCAGAUUUUUAUUCAGACUUCCGAUGGGCUUAUCUUGUCCCCUCCAGGUACAAUAGUGUCUCAGGAGGAGGACAUUGUCAUAGUGACUGAUGUAGAGGGGCGUGCCUGCGGAUGGGCCCGCCAGAAGGAGUUCCUCUAGAAGCUGUGGAGUCGGUCGUCACCGUGGAGCCGGAGCCCUCACAGUGAAGUGGAGUCAGAUCCUAGAUUCGUCUGAUUUUAUCCAGAGAAGGUCUAUGGCAAGCAAUGUAUAUUUUUCUAAUGUGAAUACUGCACAGAUGAACCUUUUAUUUAUAAAGAAUAAUGUCUUUCUAC